UAGAUACCUGGUAGUCCACGCUGUAAACGGUGGGUACUAGGUGUGGGGUCCAUUCCACGGGUUCCGUGCCGUAGCUAACGCUUUAAGUACCCCGCCUGGGGAGUACGGCCGCAAGGCUAAAACUCAAAGGAAUUGACGGGGCCCCGCACAAGCGGCGGAGCAUGCGGAUUAAUUCGAUGCAACGCGUAGAACCUUACCUGGGUUUGACAUGGAUCGGGAGUGCUCAGAGAUGGGUGUGCCUCUUUUGGGG
rnacentral:rRNA from 1 species